rnacentral:tRNA from 1 species
GAUCAGGUGGCGGAAUGGUAGACGCAAAACCGAGAGCUAACGCAGGACAGCGUAAAUAGUCGGUGCUGGAAGGUGCUAAGAACAUCCAGAGUCCAUGCAGGUUCGAUCCCUGCCCUGAUCA